UUUUGAAAAUUAUGAACGCCUGCUUGGUUUGUUGCUCUCUGUGUCUAUAAUGUUAGAAUGAACAAUGCCUCUCUUGAAUAAAGUAGUAAACUACUCAUAUUUCACAGUACAUAAUGCACACUACUGUACUUUGCAAUAUUUUUUCCACAUUCUUAAGUGCAUUACAAUGCAUGGCUUCGAUUUCUUCCAUUUUUCUUUCCUUUUUCAAAUUACUUUCCAAGAUAAUACCUGUCCUGUCAUUUUCUCCUGUCAUGUCGCGGUCUCGAGCCCAUCCCAGCUGGCAUAGGGCACAAGUCAGGACGAAAGUUUGGACGGGGCAAACACACACUAGGGUCAAUUUAGCAUUACCAGUUAACCUAACCUGCAUGUCUUUGGACAGUGGGAAGAAACCCACGCAGACACAUGGAGUACUUGCAAACUCCAUGCAGAGAGGACCAGGGACCAAGGACAUAAACUCUGGUCUCCAUACUGGGAGGCAGAAGUGCUACCACUGUGUCACUGUGCGUCAAUCAUUUCACACAUCAGCAUUCACCAGUGUCCCCCACACUGUUCAAAGACAAUCAGUUUAGGUAACAUGGCAGCUGAAAACUGCCCUGGAAUAAAUGACUGCACUUGCAGUUGACUCUACCAUGUGCUCGAUGCUGCCAGAAUGACCUGUGAAAAUGAAUGAAACAUUCUUGUUUUACUAAAUAAUUAGUAGAAAUUAUUUUAUGACGUAAUGCUUCUUCACAUAAACACAAGCACUUUCUUCACUUUUUGAUUACUGUAUUUCUGCUUCUAGGUUGACGUCGAUUAUUCAGACUAUAAUGAAACUACUCCUUUACAUGCUGCAACAAGAAACGGACACAGUGAUAUUAUAAAAUUCCUUUUGGCAAGAAGUGCUGACAUCAAUCAGACAGAUCGUUUUGGAGCAACACCCUUACAAUAUGCUAUUAACACAAGGAACACCACUAAUGUAAGAAUUUUGCGUCUGAAUGGAGGUGUUCUAUCCAUUCAUCCUGUGAGAAUUGGACUGGAACUUUGUAGUUUGGUAGCAAACAGGGAUUUCAAGGCUCUGGAAAGCUGGCACCUUUCUGGAGUUAAUUUUGACCAAAGUGAUUACAACGGGACAACUCCUCUGCAUGUUGCUGUACACAAUGGAGACCUAAUGAUGGUCGAAAAACUCCUUGCAUAUGGAGCCACUCCACUGACACUGGACAUAUGGGGACGGACACCAGUGGAUAUCGCCAGUAAUGUUGGUCACAAGAACAUCGUUGAAGUUUUAAAAGUGUGAAAGGCAGCAGAAGCAGAAAUUGAGAAACAAUCGGUUUUCGGAUUUAGAUAACCAGAAUCCAAGUUUCAUUGAAAGAAAGGUCUCCAAACUUAAGAAUUAACGUGGAUAAUAAAUUUGGGGAUUCUGAAUUAAAAUUAUAAAUAUAAAGCUGAGAAUAAAACAUGUUA